rnacentral:rRNA from 1 species
CCAGCAACUUGGAAGAAGGUAUAGCAAUAGCUAAUUGUAUUAGCAAAUAGUUUUUACAAUAUCGAUUUAAUCGACUAAAAUUCUAGGUAGAUUUAUGAUGAUGACAUUAUCUAUCUAUGUGUCUUGACCAAAUUUCGUGCCAGCAGUCGCGGUAAGACGUAAGAGACUAGUGUUAUUCAUCUUUAAUAGGUUUAAAGCGUACCUAGACGGUAAUUAAAGCCUAUAUCAGGAACUUGUUUACUAGAGUUAAAUGUAAGGGUGUAUUAAAGUACUGUUGAGUGUAGAGAUGAAAUUCGUUGAUACCAAAUAAUUGGCACAGGUAUAGGCGAAAGCAUCACUUUAUGUAAUAACUGACGUUGACGGACGAAGGCUUUGUGUCGCGAACAGGAUUAGAUACCCCAGUAGUCUUAGCAGAAAACUAUGAGUGUCAUAGGUUAGAUUUUAUUUGGUCUAUAAAUGAAAGUGUAAGCACUCCACCUCAAGAGUAAUUUGGCAACAUUGGAACUGAAAUCAUUAGACCGUUUCUGAAACCAGUAGUGAAGUAUGUUGUUUAAUUUGAUAAUCCGCAAAGAACCUUACCACAAUUUGAAUAUAAAUGAUUUAUUUUUACAAGCGUUGCACGGCUGUCUUCAGUUAAUGUCGUGAGAUAUUGGUUUAUUCCAUUAAAUUAACGUAAACCCGUACUUUAUUUUUAUAUAAAGUUGUUCAUUCGCUAUAAUGGAUGUGAUAACAGGGACUAAGACAAGUCAUCA